UACGAAGGGGGCUAGCGUUGCUCGGAAUUACUGGGCGUAAAGGGCGCGUAGGCGGAUAGUUUAGUCAGAGGUGAAAUCCCGGGGCUCAACCUCGGAUCUGCCUUUGAUACUGGCUAUCUUGAGUAUGGGAGAGGUGUGUGGAACUCCGAGUGUAGAGGUGAAAUUCGUAGAUAUUCGGAAGAACACCAGUGGCGAAGGCGACACACUGGCCCAUUACUGACGCUGAGGCUCGAAAGCGUGGGGAGCAAACAGG
rnacentral:rRNA from 1 species